UGGGGAAUAUUGGACAAUGGGCGAAAGCCUGAUCCAGCCAUGCCGCGUGUGUGAAGAAGGUCUUCGGAUUGUAAAGCACUUUAAGUUGGGAGGAAGGGCAGUUACCUAAUACGUGAUUGUUUUGACGUUACCGACAGAAUAAGCACCGGCUAACUCUGUGCCAGCAGCCGCGGUAAUACAGAGGGUGCAAGCGUUAAUCGGAAUUACUGGGCGUAAAGCGCGCGUAGGUGGUUAGUUAAGUUGGAUGUGAAAUCCCCGGGCUCAACCUGGGAACUGCAUUCAAAACUGACUGACUAGAGUAUGGUAGAGGGUGGUGGAAUUUCCUGUGUAGCGGUGAAAUGCGUAGAUAUAGGAAGGAACACCAGUGGCGAAGGCGACCACCUGGACUGAUACUGACACUGAGGUGCGAAAGCGUGGGGAGCAAACAGGAUUAGAUACCCACGUAGUCCCUGAGCGGGCUGGCAAGGCGCAU
rnacentral:rRNA from 1 species